CUCAAAUCAAAAGACUCUAGUCCUCUAAUUUAUAUUGUUCAUGAGUUAUAUUACCAUACGUAUGAUAUUAGAUAUAAAAAGGGGGAAAACUCGCGUCAAAUGUCUACGUACCCUUUCGACUAAAAUUUAUGUGUUACUACAUGUUGUAACUAACAAUUUUAUGAAAAUAUUUUGUCAAUAUCUUAUAUGAUUUCUGAAAAUAAGAGAUCACAAGCCAAAAUCUAAAUUUUAAUCAUG
rnacentral:lncRNA from 1 species